CCCGUUGAACUCAAUAGACCGGGGCGGCGACAUUCAGCCGCGCGUCGGUGCGCCUCCGGGCGUGCAGGCCGCGGUGCACUUGUCGACCUGCAGCGUACGGACAUCGCGAUCCAUUACGAACGGGGCAUUGGGGGUGCGCAAGCGCCUCCUAGCAAUCCAACACUUGGUCCCAGACUCGUGCGGUCGACCCUCCAGUAGUGGCACUUAGCUCAGAAGGCCUGUGCCGCGAAAGGGGGAUUCGGUUGGCCUCCGGGCCUUCCGGAGUUCGGCCGAGUCCGGUGUACCGUUGGAUGCGUGAUGGACUCACACGGAACUGGGGUAGAUGGAAGCGCAUGCCAUUGCGGCAUGUACCGGCACCUAGCCAUGGGCGACCACUCUCCUGAUCGGCGAUGUAUAACACUUAUUGAGGUACCUCCGGG
rnacentral:rRNA from 1 species